rnacentral:snRNA from 1 species
GUCCUAGUUUCGGCUGAACAUAUACUAAAAUUGGAUCGAUACAGAGAAGAUUAGCAUGGCCCCUGCGCAAGGAUGACACGCAAGCUUAGACAGGUAUUUUUUU